UACGGGGGGGGCAAGCGUUGUUCGGAAUUACUGGGCGUAAAGGGCUCGUAGGCGGCCAACUAAGUCAGACGUGAAAUCCCUCGGCUUAACCGGGGAACUGCGUCUGAUACUGGAUGGCUUGAGUGUGGGAGAGGGAUGCGGAAUUCCAGGUGUAGCGGUGAAAUGCGUAGAUAUCUGGAGGAACACCAAUGGCGAAGGCAGCACUCUGGGACGUGACUGACGCUGAGACGCGAAAGCGUGGGGAGCAAACAGG
rnacentral:rRNA from 1 species